CAGCAGCCGCGGGAAUACAGAGGGUGCGAGCGUUAAUCGGAUUUACUGGGCGUAAAGCGUGCGUAGGCGGCUAAUUGAGUCGGAUGUGAAAUCCCCGAGCUUAACUUGGGAAUUGCAUUCGAUACUGGUUAGCUAGAGUGUGGGAGAGGAUGGUAGAAUUCCAGGUGUAGCGGUGAAAUGCGUAGAGAUCUGGAGGAAUACCGAUGGCGUAGACAGCCAUCUGGCCUAACACUGACGCUGAGGUACGAAAGCAUGGGGAGCAAACAGGAUUAGAUACCCCGGUAGUCCCUGUCUCUUAUAC
rnacentral:rRNA from 1 species